rnacentral:rRNA from 1 species
GACAGAGGGGGCAAGCGUUGUCCGGAGUUACUGGGCGUAAAGAGCGCGCAGGCGGUCGUUCAAGUCGCGUGUGAAAGCCCCCGGCUCAACUGGGGAGGGUCACGCGAUACUGAUCGACUCGAAGGCAGGAGAGGGAAGUGGAAUUCCCGGUGUAGUGGUGAAAUGCGCAGAUAUCAGGAGGAACACCAAUGGCGAAGGCAGAUCUCUGGGCCGUAACUGACGCUGAGGAGCGAAAGCAUGGGGAGCGAACAGG